rnacentral:rRNA from 1 species
CCCUGCCCUUUGUACACACUGCCCGUCGCUCCUACCGAUUGAAUGGUCCGAUGAAGUGCUCGAAUUGUUGUGAUGUUAGGUGGUUAGCCGCUCAUGAUGCUGCGAGAAGUCCAUUGAACCUUAUCAUUUAGAGGAAAGAGAAGUCAUAAUAAGGUUUUCAUAGGUGAAUCUGCAGAAGGAUCAUUA